CAGCCGCGCGGUAACACAGAGGGUGCAAGCGUUAAUCGGAAUUACUGGGCGUAAAGCGCGCGUAGGUGGUUUGUUAAGUUGGAUGUGAAAUCCCCGGGCUCAACCUGGGAACUGCAUCCAAAACUGGCAAGCUAGAGUAUGGUAGAGGGUGGUGGAAUUUCCUGUGUAGCGGUGAAAUGCGUAGAUAUAGGAAGGAACACCAGUGGCGAAGGCGACCACCUGGACUGAUACUGACACUGAGGUGCGAAAGCGUGGGGAGCAAACAGGAUUAGAUACCCCAGUAGUCCCUGUCUCUUAUACA
rnacentral:rRNA from 1 species